rnacentral:tRNA from 1 species
GCGCUCCUGGCGACGGUUCCUGAUGUCCUUGACGCUCGUGCCGUUGAUGACGAUGUCGCCGCCUUCGACCUUCGCGAGUUCCAUGAUCUCGAGGAGCGUC